rnacentral:rRNA from 1 species
CCUACGGGAGGCAGCAGUGGGGAAUAUUGCACAAUGGGCGAAAGCCUGAUGCAGCAACGCCGCGUGAGCGAUGAAGGACUUCGGGACGUAAAGCUCUGUCAUCAAGGAAGAAAAUGACAGUACUUGAGGAAGAAGCCCCGGCUAACUACGUGCCAGCAGCCGCGGUAAUACGUAGGGGGCUAGCGUUAUCCGGAUUUACUGGGGGUAAAGGGAGCGUAGGUGGUUUUUUAAGUCGGAGUGGAAAGCCGGGGGCCCAACCGGAGGAAGCCUUUGAAAAUGGGGAACUUGAGUACAGGAGAGGAAGGUGGAAUUCCUGGUGUAGCGGUGAAAUGCGUAGAUAUUAGGAGGAACACCAGUGGCGAAGGCGGCUCUCUGGACUGUAACUGACACUGAGGCACGAAAGCGUGGGGAGCAAACAGGAUUAGAUACCCGUGUAGUC